UACCAGUCAUUUCCUUUCAAAUCAGUGAAGGGAAGUGAACAAGUGCACACUCUGGGAGGAAGGAGAGAUAAUUGGGACACCUCACUGUACCAGGACCCUAGAAACCAUCGUUCCUAGGAAACUAUGCAAUAGUCUGUUUCUCUCUCUUCUCUACUUACCCCCACCUCCCUGUUACAGAUCAACUAAACAGUCCCUGCUACAGAUCAACUAAACAGUCCCUGCUACACAUCAACUAAACAGUCCUUGUCACAGAUCAAAUAAACAGUCCCUGCUACAGAUCAACUAAACAGUCCCUGCUACAGAUCAACUAAACAGUCCCUGCUACACAUCAACUAAACAGUCCUUGUUACAGAUCAACUAAACAGUCCUUGUUACAGAUCAACUAAACAGUCCCUGCUACAGAUCAACUAAACAGUCCUUGUUACAGAUCAACUAAACAGUCCCUGCUACAGAUCAACUAGACAGUCCUUGUUACAGAUCAACUAAACAGUCCCUGCUACACAUCAACUAAACAGUCUUUGUUACAGAUCAACUAAACAGUCCCUGUUACAGAUCAACUAAACAGUCCCUGCUACAGAUCAACUAAACAGUCCCUGUUACAGAUCAACCUGUUACAGAUCAACUAAACAGUCCUUGUUACAGAUCAACUAAACAGUCCCUGCUACACAUCAACUAAACAGUCCCUGCUACAGAUCAACUAAACAGUCCCUGUUACAGAUCAACCUGUUACAGAUCAACUAAACAGUCCUUGUUACAGAUCAACUAAACAGUCCUUGUUACAGAUCAACUAAACAGUCCUUGUUACACAUCAACUAAACAGUCCUUGUUACACAUCAACUAAACAGUCCUUGUUACACAUCAACUAAACAGUCCUUGUUACACAUCAACUAAACAGUCCCUGCUACACAUCAACUAAACAGUCCCUGUUAUAGAUCAACUAAACAGUCCCUGCUACACAUCAACUAAACAGUCCCUGUUAUAGAUCAACUAAACAGUCCCUGCUACACAUCAACUAGACAGUCCUUGUUACAGAUCAACUAAACAGUCCCUGCUACACAUCAACUAAACAGUCCUUGUUACAGAUCAACUAAACAGUCCUUGUUACAGAUCAACUAAACAGUCCUUGUUACAGAUCAACUAAACAGUCCCUGUUACACAUCAACUACACAGUCCCUGUUACACAUCAACUAAACAGUCCCUGCUACACAUCAACUACACAGUCCCUGUUACACAUCAACUACACAGUCCCUGCUACAGAUCAACUACACAGUCCUUGUUACAGAUCAAUCUGUUAUAGAUCAGGUACUACUAUAGAUCAGGUUAUAGUAGUACAGAGAUGGUAGAGAUUGUUAUAGUACAGAGAUGGUAGAGGUUAUAGUACAGAGAUGGUAGAGGUUAUAGUACAGAGAUGAUAGAGGUUAUAGUACAGAGAUGAUAGAGGUUAUAGUACAGAGAUGAUAGAGGUUACAGUACAGAGAUGGUAGAGGUUAUAGUACAGAGAUGGUAGAGGUUAUAGUACAGAGAUGGUAGAGGUUAUAGUACAGAGAUGGUAGAGGUUAUAGUACAGAGAUGGUAGAGGUUAUAGUACAGAGAUGGUAGAGGUUAUAGUACAGAGAUGGUAGAGGUUAUAGUACAGAGAUGAGAGGUUAUAGUACAGAGAUGAGAGGUUAUAGUACAGAGAUGGUAGAGGUUAUAGUACAGAGAUGGUAGAGGUUAUAGUACAGAGAUGGUAGAGGUUAUAGUACAGAGAUGGUAGAGGUUAUAGUACAGAGAUGGUAGAGGUUAUAGUACAGAGAUGGUAGAGGUUAUAGUACAGAGAUGAUAGAGGUUAUAGUACAGAGAUGAUAGAGGUUAUAGUACAGAGAUGGUAGAGGUUAUAGUACAGAGAUGAUAGAGGUUGUUAUAGUGUAGAGAUGGUAGAGGUUAUAGUAGUACAGAGAUGGUAGAGGUUGUCAUAGUACAAAGAUGGCCGAGGUUAGUAAGCCCUAUCACAGGAUGUUUCCGUCACAAAAAUACAAUCUAGAUUAUAUUUCUAUGUUCCCUGUUCUGUCCUGAGAACAAAGCUAGGCCCUUAUGUUUCCCUACAGAGCAGAGAGAGCAGCGAAUGCAGGGCCAUCAGGCCUCAUUGUGGACAUCAGAACUCUGAGGAGGUUGGUUUGGGACCGGACGACCCGCCCGGAGCUCAGAGGGGUUCUGGAGAGCCUGCUCCACUACCUAACCCAGGACCUGCCCGGCCGGAGCCCCACCGCGAGGCCCCCUGAGAGGUUAGGGCUGGAGGUCAGUGUGGGGUUGGAGGUGCCCCAGUUCAGCAGGUGUGGAGGUCGACCAGCAGGGAGCGACGUCUCAAGACGCCUCACCUCCUUCCAGCUUCUCCAGGCCAAGUUCCUGAGGAACACCCCCAACCCUCCGCUCACUCACCGCCGGGAGGUGGGGGCCCUGGCACUAUCCUCCAGAGGGGGUGGAGGGGGAGGCUGUGGGAGCCAGAGGCAUGGCAGAGAGACCCCUAGUGGACAGGUUGAGGGCUGCAUUCCCAAAACAGGACGUGGAGUGAGAAAGGGGAACACUGUUAAGGAUGUGCUGGCCAGGUUUGCCGCAGCAACGCAGAAAGAGAGGGGAGGGGCCACACAGGGGGGAGGAGCGUCGAAAAGACCCCGACCGAUCGGCAAGGGGCAGCUACUGUCUGCCAUAAUGGACAAGUUUGAAACCAUGGCGACGGUGCACCGGGGAAGUGACGUCAGUUGCCAGAGGAAAAGCUCCUCUCCUGGUACCAGCUCAUCUGGACGUGUCAAUGAAUUGGUGAGUCGUCAGGAAGAACAGGGACAACAGUGCUUAGGUCAACCAGGUCAACCCGUCAAAGGUCAGAGUUCAGUGAAGCAACAGGUUAAGAGUAAAGGCUGGGGACAGCAGAGGAAAGAGAACCCCUAUGGAGUACAGGAAGGAGAUAGAGGAUCAGAGAAGACAGUAGCUGGUCUGAAUCAGAAGGUGAAAGGUCACUCUGUAGUCAAUAAGCAGAUAAGGGCUCCAGGUUCAGAUCAAGAAGCUGAAGGUCAGAUUCAGGAUUCAAUUAAGGAGGUAGAAGUUUGGGGUGCUAAUCAACAGGUAAAGACUCUGGGUACGAACCAACAGGUAGAGACUCUGGGUACGAACCAACAGGUAGAGACUCUGGGUACGAACCAACAGGUAGAGACUCUGGGUACGAACCAACAGGUAGAGACUCUGGGUACGAACCGAGAACAGAUUGUGAGCUCAGGUCAAAGACGAGAAGGCCAUGGUUCAGAAUUUAACAAGGAGCUAAAGGCUCAGAGUAAAAACAUUGAAGUUAAGGCUUCAGUGGGUCAGGAAGUGGUGGUACAGGCUUCACAUCAGGAAAAUCAGGAUCCUGAUCAAGACAGUGAAGUUGAAGUUUCAGGUCAGGAGGUCAAGGCACAGGUUACAGGUCAGGAGCACAAGGCACGGGUUAUAGGUCAGGAUGUCAAGGCACAGGUUUCAGAUAGGGAAUUAAAGGUACAGGUCUUAGGUCAGGAGCUCAGCUAUGUGCAGGUAGAGCUGCUCUGCUCUGCUGCAGUGGUCCAGUGGUCUCCCCCAGCACCCCAGGUAGGGAUACCUGAGGUAGAGGCCUUGCAGUCUGGGUACCUGGCAACGCUGCUCCCUUGUCCUCCUGUGUGGGCACUAGCUUCCUCUGUGAAUCCACCAGCACAGAAAUACUCAGGGUUAGGGUUCAAAACCAGGACCCUGGAAGGCUCACAUCUCUCCUACCCCUGUAGAAAACAGUACAUGGAUCCACCCCAACCCCAGUCCACCCAGAGAGGCCAGCCCAGAUACCCCAUCCCUAGGAGGGCCCACGGCUCAGAAUCAGAACCAUCAGAACUGGGCCAGGCCCAUAAUGCCAGCCUCUCACCCCCACCUUCUGAAUCUACAACCCCUGAUGUCAUGACCUCUGUCCCCACAACCCCUGAUCUUGACCUUUGCUUCCUGCCAUCAGCGCCCACAAUGUUCAACCAGGAGCACCGCCCACAUGAAGCCAAACAGGAAGUAAAUGUCCCCAUGGCACUGCAAAGUGGGGAGGGGGAGGUGACAUAUCAGGAGGGGGAGGGGCAGGGUUGCGCUGUGAUGUCACACAAAGAUGAUGUCAUCACUAUGCGUGGUUCGAAUGUUGCAGAGCCAGAAAGACUACAGACAGAAAAGCAGGAGAGACCAAAGUACAGGACGUUAAACUACAGCGACCCUUCUGCCAAACUGAUUCAUAAACCCAGAAUCAUCCGAUUCACAGAUACCUUUCAUUUCUAAGUCACUCGUCCACUCACUCUGACUUCAGUGAUGCGUCCAUCUGUGAAGGAUAAAAACCUUCAGAACUUUUCUCUCUCCUCACAGUGAAACACGAUACACCUUCAAGGUCAUGUCAGCUAUCCCAUGUGUUGCUGUCCUCUGAAAGCCGUGGGGUUGCAGGAAGCAGCCUACCCUCUACGUGUGGUGAUUACUCAGAAGCUGUGUAAUGCUCUAAGUAGAGUAGCGUGUGUGUGUGUGUGUGUGUGUGUGUGUGUGUGUGUGUGUGUGUGUGUGUGUGUGUGUGUGUCGUCCGUACUGUAACAGUGGAAAGACAAACAGAACAGUGGUGUUAAACAUUGACUAAGCCUAAAUCUUUAGAAUGGGAUUUUCGUGGAAAACAAUGUGAAGCAAUAAUAUCAGGACUUAAAACUGUAGCUAUGACAACCGAGUCAAACGAACCUCUGCUCUUUAUCAGAUUAAAGAAACUCAAUCCCUUAUCUUGUAGUUGUUGUAUUGUUGACGUUGUGAUCAAUCUGAAACAGUUGUACUGUUCCCUUCUAAUCAACCUUUCAUUCAUUAGCCGGUUUGAGUUAUAGCUCUACUGACCUUGGCGUAUCUCUACUCUCCCGAAGGCUCGUGACUAUUGUCGUUAUCACGAGUAAACCGGAACUAAAGCGCCAUACAUUUAAUUUAAUGUCAUCAGAAUAAUCUCAGAGAUCAGGGACAUAUUUGGCCGCGACAUGUAUCAAUGAAGUUUUACAAGAGAAUCUUUGUUCAAAUGUUGACCCCCAGAGGGUUCAUUUUUUUUCUGGAAUGUUCCAAGGUGACAGAUACACCCACACAGGUUGUUUGUGUGCCAGCUAGAUGUUCUACAACCACAACACGGUAAAUGUGCCCUCACUGCCAGUGUUUUGGCUACAGACAUGGACUAUGACCUGGGGAAAUAACCCACUUAUCUCAUACUAUUCACACUAGUCGCCUUUCACUGACGGGUGGAAAAACAGCCCUACACACACUAUUUUUGUGCUAAGAAAUGGACGAUGUGCACUUGUAUUGAUGGGUUAUGCUCAAACACACAAAGACAUACAUUUGUUUCUGGAAGAAGAAAAAUAAACUGUAUAUAAGGAUAUGACCUUAGAUUCAUACUAAUUUGAAGAUGUAGCUACUUCAAAUAUUAAUUUCAGAAUUUUAACAGAGUUUUUUUUUUUUACAAUGAUUUGUGUCAUGGUAUGUGUGAUGCAUGACGUCAUCUACUGUAAAAAUCACCUGCCAGGGGGAGUGGCUAAAGGUAAGCGUCAGAAGGGUUUCCCUAUUCCUUCAUCAUGACGUGGCAUUGUGGACAUUUUGUAAACCUAGUAUAUUACGAGGUAAAAUGUGAUGUGAUUAUAUAUAAUCGAAUAGGUUUGUUAUUUCAUCGCUGAUCGUUUUUGCGUACCUAGAAUAUUUAUGAGAGGGCGGUUCUAUUUCCCGCUCAUGCUUGAUUGACAUGUGCCCCGAGGCUAAGCGGAGCUCGGGCACAGUCAGGCGUUCUACCUUUGAAAACAUGGAAAGAAACCACCCGGCAGAGUCAUAGACAUUUCAAUAUAUUUAUUAAUUAUGGACCAUGUUUCGAGACGCUGUGGAGUCAGCCGAUCGCGUUUAACAUAGUUGAUACCAGAUUGCGGUUGCUCUCCAGUUUCAGCCACCAAAGUAAAAAUCCAGGUGCAUAAACGGGUUUCUCUCUUCCAGAUAGGAUGAAAGAUCGAGACACUUUUACUCUCCUCUUCCAGCUAAAUUAGCUUGUGCCUCGGGUGGGUCAAUACAACUCUCCGUUGUUUGACUGUCUGGGACAUCGAGUGACUCUUCGACUGUCCCUGAUCGGCAUCCGAGUCCACGCCUGGGACUUGCAGUUGUGGGACUCGCUUCAUGGAGAGAGCAGCGAUACCGUUUCAACUUUUGGACUACAGAAUAGCCUACUGCGAUUAACUACGCGUUUAGGCCACAUUUCCACGGCAUAUUUUGGAAUAUAUUUGGGUUCACUCAUGGAAAAGAAAAACAACAAAGCGAACAGGCUUCGCUCGCCGCAACUUCGCAGCCUGAACCCAACUAUCAACUCUCCUCCCAGCGGCAGCAGCGCCAAAGAGAGAGUGCACAGUGUGGACCCGUUUGGCUGUGACUCCGUUUGGCUGUGACUCUGUUUCAAUGUGGACUCCGUAUGGCUGUGACUCUG